GACGAACGCUGGCGGCGUGCCUAACACAUGCAAGUGGAGCGACGAACCAGGCUUCGGCCUGGGGCAAAGCCGCGAACGGGUGAGUAACACGUGGGUAACCUGCCCUGAUGAUUGGGACAACCCGAGGAAACUCGGGCUAAUACCAAAUGUGCCCUUCGGCCACAAGGCCGCUGGGGAAAGGAAGCUUCGGCCUCCGCAUCUGGAUGGGCCCGCGGCCCAUUAGCUUGUUGGUGAGGUAACGGCUCACCAAGGCGACGAUGGGUAGCUGGUCUGAGAGGACGAUCAGCCACACUGGGACUGAGACACGGCCCAGACUCCUACGGGAGGCAGCAGUGGGGAAUCUUGCGCAAUGCGCGAAAGCGUGACGCAGCAACGCCGCGUGGGGGAAGACGGCCUCGG
rnacentral:rRNA from 1 species